AAAUUAGUUUUGAUACAUACUCUCAAGGUGUUGAGAAUUAGAGACAUGUAUUUAAUUCCUAAAGGCUCCCGAUCAUAAGAUCAUCAUGAGAAUGGUGACAGAUCCGAAUAGACUGAUGCAUAAAUCACUUCCUUCAGGAUAGAUAGAUCUCUAAUCUACUGUGUAGAGACACAAAGAGAUGAGUGCGGAUGAUUGUUAGAGAACAACUAGCAUUGAGCGUGACCAUACGAGAGAUUACUUAAAUUUCUAUUCAAUCAUCAGUGAUUGUCUCGAUGCUGUAGUUGUGUGACUGAUCUUUUGAUUUGAGAUAGUACUACUGCUCACAGUGAGGCUGCUGACGUUUGAUUGAC
rnacentral:lncRNA from 1 species